CUCAACUUGGAAGUUCAAUCUGGGCUGUCUUUUUCUAUCAAUUUUUUGAUAACAAGAUCUUGCCUUUCAUUAAGGUCAAUGUCAGGGAUCUUGGGCUUAAAAAGGUUGGUGACCACUGCUCUAAAUACAUUCAUAUUUUCUGUUUAGGCAUGUGUCAAUUUCAAAAGUGUUUGCAUUACUGAGCAGGACAUUUGCAUUCCUAUUCUUUUCAUAAUUUACUAACGAAAGGUGUUCAUUUUACCAAAUAUCAUCUGGUAGGACCAUAAUGAAAUGAUCAUUUUGAGACUUUUGGGAAAUAUCUAUAAAGGUUUCCAAUAUUUCCAAAUUUGGAAACCAUUCACACUUUGAAGCUCUACAGUUGACAAAUAUGGCUGUCAUGUGGUGUGACAUUAAGAAAACAAUUAAAAUGAAACCAUCAAUGAAUCUAGAUUUUUAUUACAAAUUUUAUAAUAGAUUUUGGUGGGAUGAUGCCUGUACAAUCUGAAUGAACUAGAAAAUUUGAACAGAAAAAAAAAAGUGUCAAAGUGUCAGCGUUAUGCAGUUCCACCGUCUGUGAUAGAUGUUUUCCACUGGCUCAUUGUGCUUUUAUACACAAUUGAUGAUUAAUUUAGAUACCAUUCUUUAUUACAGUUUAAUCUGAAACAUAUUUUUCUAAAAAAAUAAAAUGUGUUUUCCUUGAAUUUCAAUUGAUAUUUGAAUGUCUAUAUUUUAUAUUAUUAUAAAAUUAUUAUCUAGUUAUAUUGUUAUUAUUAUUAUUAUUAUUAUUAUUAUCUAGUUAUAUUAUGUUAAUAUUUUAUUAUAUAGUUCAUUUCAUGAGAAAACAUUUCUUACUUUAUUACAACCUGUUUUCUAAAGGUUACUAAGUAGCAAAGAAAAAAACUGAAUACCAUAGACACUGGUAAGCAAGAGCUGAGCAUCUCACUAGCAUAAAAGAAAGGUAUGUUACAAAGCAAAACUAUUAUCAACAUAUGACUAACAUUGCCCUAUUGCAUUUCUAGCUAUAUGGAUUGGAUUUAAUUGGUUCUAUAUAUAUAUAUAUAUAUAUAUAUUUUUUUUUUUUAUUCAUAAUAUUUUUUUAUUUUAUUUUUUUUUUUUAACACACAUACAUAUAUAUUUUGCACACACAUACACAUAUACAUACAUACAUAUUAUAUAUAUAUAUAUAAAUAUCGCCUCGAGUGGUCAGCUCUUCCUACUAGGGAUGCACCGAAUGUUCAGCGGCCGAAUAAUUUAGCAAAAGUAGCAAAAAAAGCCCUUUCGGUGUAAGCGAAAAGGCCGAAUAAAUUUGACUGAACAAUGACGUGUUUGAUGACGCGACCAAAUAGCCUAGCAACCAGAGUGAGCAGCACGAAUGUCACGACCUCCACUUCCGGCAGCGCGCUCCGAGAGAUGAGAGGGCGUGCGCGUGCAUGAGUGCUCAGCGAGUGCAUGAUCUUCGGAUGUUGACAACCGUGACAUUGUUCACUCCGGACACAUGCGUUUGUUUUGUUUCUGUUCCGGAGUAUUCUGUCACGUUGCGAGACGUAAGGGAGUAGAAUACGGAUUUUUUUUUUCUUUGAAAAGCAAGACAAAAUAGUAAAAAGCACAUUUUGACUAUUGUAAUUUAUGCAAUAGUGAAAAAAAAAGGCAAAAUUAAUGGCAAAAACGUCAAAAAAACGUGUUCGGUAUUCGGCCUUCUUCCAGGUUUUUCAUUAUAUUCGGUUUCGGCUUCGGCCAAGAAUUUUCAUUUCGGUCCAUCAGUACUUCCUACCUUAUAUAGAACAAUAAAGAGCCCACACAUGAACAUAUGUAUCACGUUUUUUGAUGAUUGCUCAAAGCUAAUUUUGUGAAAUGCCUUCAUAAAGCUUAAUGGCUGACAGUGGCCAUAUUAUGAAGUGCAGAUGUGGCCAUUAAAAAUGAAUGAGAAAUAGAACGUGAUCCUGCAGUACACCGCGGGACGUAUGUCACUCAGUUAGCCAGCGCUGUCGAGACAAGACCAUUAGGUGGCAGUCGCUUCACACUCGUUGAGCAGAUUCUUAAAGGCGUAAAAGAAUGUGACAUUACAUUGAACAGUUAAACGAAUUACCUCAUCUUGAUCGACAAUAUGUUAUUUAAAAGCUAAGGAUCUGAUCUUUGACCACUGUUUUAUUAUAAUGUUAAUGUUAUAGUGACAGUAAUUUUACAUUUUCAUUGAACAGUAACAGAGGCUAGCUGGUACGUCACUCCCCUGACCUCAAAAGACACACUGGCGACUACAGUAUGCUAUAGGCUGUACACAGAGUAGGCAGACCGUCUACAAUGGCAAAUUUAAAAAAUAAAGUUGGAACAUUACGAAAUUGAGGUCAUAUUAUUUGGGAAUAAAGUUGUUGCAUUAGGAGAAUAAAUUCAUAAUAUAUUGAGAAUAAAGUCAUAGCAUUAUGAAAACAAAGCAUAAUUUUGAGAACACCACAUAUUAACGGUAGAAAAACGGCAUGAUCACCAAAACGAUAGAAAGCCGAGCCAGCAGCUUAAUCAAUACAAGAAAUGGAUGUCGAGGAUUUAGUUAAAUCUGACUUCAGGAUUAGGUUCAGCAACAAAUAAAUUCUUUGUGUUUUUGAAGAGGAGGAAUCUGCUAAUUUUCCAGCAGUUACUUACUGAUGAAUGAAUCUCCCCUUCCCCCACUAAUAUCACCUCUCAAGGAUAAAUAACUCCCCAUCCCACCCCCUCCUGUGUGAUAUCAAACUGAAAUAUAAAACCAUGGCAGUCUGGGCGAUUUUAAAGCAUCAAAGCCAUAGAAUGAAAAAAUUUGUAGUACAUUCAAGUAUUAUUUUAUAUUACAUGUUUAAGUUGCAACGCAUUCUUGUCUAUACUUAGUAACAAAUGUAUUUAAUUCUAAGAAACUGGUCAGACUAGUCCUGCGACAUUGUGCGUGAUAGGCUUCCUGAUCCUUCAUGAAAAGACAUGCAUUUUUUUAACACGGUCACCAUUAAAAUACACUUACAAAUUGGAUUUUAAUGGUGCCCGUACAAAUAUAUAAACUUAUAAGCAUAGCCUCAACUAGCAAUGGUUUCGAUUUUAAAUUGAUUAAAACCUUCAACAAUAUAAAAGUAGAAAAAUGUAAACUUAAUAAUGAGACACUGUUUAAUAAUGAGACACAUAUAAUACAAAUUAAACCUGGCUAAUUCAACAGUAGGCUCUGUGCACAGGUGUGCAGGGAUACCAGGUCUGACUCACAGGAAGCGCAUGCCUAAAGCACAGGCCUUUCACAUCCAGGUGUUUGCUUGCCAUAGCUCAAAUAUGCUUCUGAAUCCUGCUUUCUCCAUGUUCUAAAGAUAAUCGCUGUGAUUGACAGUAAUAGUGAAUUAGUAGUGAAAGAAUGCUUAUGAGAACCCCAAUAGCCCCCCCUCUAAAGGACACUACUUUUUUAGAGGAGGAAGUGUGGGACAAAUUAAGUUUAUAUGUUUAUUUCACCUCAUGCAAUGUAUAAUCUGCAUUUUAUGAUGAAUAGCCUACUUUAUUAUGCAGUCUGCUGAAUGUUUUUUGAUAGAAAGAUGCAUUUAAUUAAAAAGCCUAAGUAACAAAUGAAAAAAUAAUACGCCAAUACAGUCAUAGUAAUUCAACAGUAUGUUAGACUGACUUCACAAAAAUAGGCUUUGUAUAUUAUGCAAAUUGUUAAAAAUUUAAGAGGGCAGGACUCAAAGGUACAAAAAACAAUUGUUUAUGGUUUCAGCCAAAUGAGCAUAAGAAAAUUUAAAAAAAUCAACAUACACCUUAUUGCACAAGAGAUAUGCUUGUUUUUAUGAGCAAAAACAUGAAUAGGUUUUUAAGAGCAAUACCAAUCUUUGCACACGUUAUGCCUGAAUGGUUUCAUGGACAGCUGUUUGAGAAAAUUGGGCUUCACAUUGAUAUAAUUGAUUGGCAGUCACAUUGGUUAGUGUUUUUUCAUAAUUAUUGUGAUUCUUACUCUGCUGAGUAGUUUAACACUAAUUUUUUGGAAGAAACUGUACAAAUCUUAGAACUAGUCUGCAACAAAUGGCUUAGCAAAUUAUGCAAACUAAAUCUAAAUGGGCUACACUUGAUUGUUAAAUUGCAAAUUGGAUUGGAAUUAGCCAUGGAAUGAGACAAAAAAAAUUCGAUCUAGGCCUCAGGGUUCUCGAGAUAGAGACUAAAAAGUAUACAGUAUGGUGCGCUAUAGCUCUACCAUAAGGCUGCAUGGGGUUAUCUCGCUUGAUCAACUAGUAAGACUAGGGAGUACCACCUAUUGUCCAAAUUUCUCCAUGACAUAUGGUUUGGUCUGCAUGAUUUAUUUUAGGGGAGAAAAAUACUAAUAAUAAUGAUGUCCAAGCAGCCUCAGCAAAUAUAGGCCCAAUUGCCAGUUCUUGCCAAAUGAUACAGAAUAAUAAAGAAACCAUAGAUGAACAUACAAUUUUUGUGAUGACAGCUCAACGGUAAUUGCGUGAAAUGCCUGCUGAUAAGACAAUAGCUAAGGGCAGCCACGUUUUUAAAGUAACGCAGUAAUAAUUAAAGAUCCAGUCACAGAUUAACAGAACAAUGCAGCACACAAAAUUUCAGCUUGAUCAGUAUUUCGGUUUCUUUGAUACAGCUAUAUGAUCUUAACUCCAGCUUUGCCAAGUUUGGUGUGAAUCUAUACAAUCAAUCAUGAAUUACAGCUGUUUGAGUAAGCUAGCGCUGCCCCACUUGUAUUAACCCUCGUACCCCUUAGUUCCCACAGUAUUAUGUCCCACAACCCUAUAUUCCCCAUAGAAACAGCACGCCAACCCUGAGUUCCCAGGCCAAAAUUGGCCCCAAAAUCAACAUUUUAAUUUGAACAUUUUUAGGCCUUGAAACAACUUAUAAUAAUGUAUUUGUGUAUUAUUACUUUGAAAAUGAAGCAGUUAAGUGUUUUUACUCCACUUAGAGCACAAUUCUUAACUAGAGAAAUGACGAAAAUGCUCGCUAAAAUCCUUAUACUCCUUUAGAAGUACCAUACGAGCAUCAGCGUGGUCAAUGCCUUUGAAUAAAUUCAAGCAAAUAAUAAAUAAAUAAAUAAAUAAAUAAAUGCAUUUUAGCACCAAAAGUCAAGUUUCUGGUGAUAAUCAGACCAGCAGGUACUGUUUACACGAAUGCACAGAAAUGGUCCCGUUAUGACUCCAGACCCCUGCAGUGUCAGUCGUACUGGUUGAUGCUGAAGAUGAAGACGGAUCAGGGUCUGAAUCAGGAGAGUUUGCAUCUCUAUUAGUUUCGGUUUCAACAUCGCCUGAACUUUCACUGCUGUCACUAUCUAGAAUCCUUGCUCUCGCCUGUGUAAGUUUUCUUUUUUUUUUUCCACUGUUUUAGAUGUACCUGUGUUCACUGUAGGUGUAACUUUAGCUGGAACACGAAUAGCUUUUCGCUUUGGCAUUUUUAGUUCACUUCUACUAUUACACCAAUAUUCACGCUUGGAUCUUCAUCGUAAUGCCGGCGUAAUAACGUAAUCACGUCGUGACGCCAUGACGUGAUCAACCUUCCGGGUUAAAAAAAAUAAAUUAAAUAAGUAAGGAAUCAUGGCAGAGUAAUGCCGGUACACCGGCCUUACGGGGAUAACGUUUACACUGUAAAGCCGCUAUAUCGGCCUUACGGGUAUUUGGCAUAGACGACCAAGCCGGUAUAUCGUCCUUACAGGAAUAGAUCAAAAGACGGGCAAGCCGGUUUUUCGGCCAUACGGGGUAAGAGGGUUAACUAGCAUGUGGUGGCCAUACUGUUAACAAAUCUAAAAAAUUAUUACAAACACUAAUCAGAAACCUGUUCCAUAACUGAAGCUCUUUGCAAGAAAAUGCUCUACACCCCUGCUCUGAGAUACAUUAUUCUAAAGUACUAAUAAAGAGCCUGCACCUUUUGAUCAAAGCAGGCACAGUGGAUCAUAAGAAACCAGUUUGCUCAAGUACUGUGGUAUGAAACCAUUCAGUGCUUAAUAGGUCAUUAGUUGUAUUUUAUAAUCAAUUAGAAUGUUUACUGGGAGCCAAUGCAGUGUAGAUAAGCGGUGUUGUGAUUAUAUUAUAUUAUUUUGGUUCUAGUAAGGACUCUGGCUGCUGCAUCCUAACUAGAGCUUGUUUAUGCACCUACUGGAACAUCAAGUCAGCAAUGCCAUCGUCUAAUAGAUAAUAGUUAAAAGAAGCAUGAACUUGUGUGUCUUUUCGUGCAAUAUAUCUGAGAGGAAAAAAGCCUAUUCUAGUAUUAUAGAUAUGAGCUUCAAAUAAGACACUACAGUCAAUAAUCACACCAAGAUCUUUCAAAGGUGCACAUGAUAUAACAAAGGCCAUUCCAGAGUUACUAAAUAAUCAGAAGGCUUUCUUCUAGCUGCAUGUGGUCCUAGUAAAAGUACUUCUGUCAUGUCAGAAUUAACAUCAAGCUGUGUGUCAUCACCAUAGCAGUGGAAGAUAAAAUCAUGUUUUCAAGAGGUAGCAUAUAAAGAUAAGAGCAAUGGGCCUAGAACAGAGCCGUGUGAAACACUAAACUUGAAUUUUUUACAAAACAGCGAAGUUGCCAUUAAAAUCUACAAACUGAUAAUGAUCAGUCAGAUCUGAGCCAGGAAAGAGCCAUUCCCUUAACUCUGUCAUGAUUUCCCCUUGAAGCAGCGUGCUCUAAGCGCGAAUGCGCAAGCACCUGCUUUUCCAUUGUUGACAGGAGUGACAUCUGGACACGUGUGUUUUGUUUAUGUCAUGUCUCCUCCCUGUUCUGUCAUUGGCUGGGAUUUCACGUGUGUCUGUAUUGCCCUCAGCUGCUAGCAGUUUAGACGCUGAUCAUGUCCACAUAUAUACCGUGCGCCUCCCAGCACACAACGUGGAAGAUUAUCGUAGAGUUAGAUUAGUUCUUAUAGUAGUCAUAGUCACGUUCCAUGUUAAGAGUUAGUUCACGCUGGAUUAUCCGCUCCCAGUUCCUCGUCCUAGUUCAUGUUUCUCGUUUUGUUUAUCGACCCUGUUUUCCGUGACCACGACCUUGAUUCAUGUUUAACCCCGUGUAUGCCUGUUUACCGAUCGCCUGACCUUCGCCUGUUUUGGAUUACGUUUAUGAAUCACGUUUUGGAUUUGUCUGCCUGUCUCUCUUUUAAAAUAAACAACUGUUCAUACUGCACUUGCAUCCGUCCUAUCUCCGCUCCGUCACGAUACGUGACAAACUCAAACAGUAUUGUUCUUUUAAGAGGGGGUAGAGUGCAGUGGAAAUCAGUUGCCUCGUCAAGUUCUGUGGGGUCAGAAGGUGAACCAAUAGGUCAACAAUUUGAUUGUUAAUAAACCUCUACAAUCACUGUAUACAUUUACACGCACACACAGUCAUGGACAAAAAUAUGGGUACCCCUGCAUUUCUGUCAGAUAAUGCACUACUUCUCCCAGAAUAUUGUUGCAAUUACAAAUACCUUGGCAUUCUCAUGUUUAAUUUUUUUUUGUAUUGGAGCAACACAAAAAAGGCAGAGAAAAAAUAAAUAAAUCUGAGACAAUCCACACAGAACUCCACAAUGGACUGGACAAAAUUAUUGCCACGUUUUCAACAUCUUCAGAAAAAAAAUUUUUCUAUCAUUUGAUGUUCCUUUAAUUUGUAAUUAAACUCACCUUUAGCAAGUCAUAGGUGCUGGCAAUAUAGAAAUCACACUUGCAACCAGUUUAAAUGGAGAAAAAUUGACUCAGUGUUUUGAGUGUGUGUACACCACACUGAGCAUGGAUAAAAUAAAGAAGAGCAAAGAGGGUGCACUAUGGGAAGAAAGCAAGCUGGCAGAGGCAUUGUGAUGCUCUGGGCAAUGUUAUGCUGGGACACCUUGAGUUCUGGCAUUCAUGUGUAUGUUUCUUUGCCACAUACAAACUCAAUCCAAUCGAACAUCUGUGGGAUGUGCUGGACAAAAAAGUCUCUCCAUGGAGGCCCCACCUCCAAACUUACAGGACUUAAAGGAUCUGCUGCCAACGACUUGGUGCCACAUACCACAGCACAUCUUCAGAGGUCUUGUGGAGUCCAUGCCUCAACGGGUCAGAGCUGUUCUGGCAUCACAAGGGGGACCUACACAAUAUUAGGCAGGUAGUUUUAAUGUUACAGUGUAGUAUCGUCGUUAUUCGAUGUUAGCAUAUCGAAUAACAUACUCAAAACUGCAUAAUAAUGUGGGAUGUUGUAAAUUUUUAAACUUUAUUAAGUCCACAUUCCAACUUAACUUCAUAGGGUUCUUUCACAAAUGCAGUGUUAAGGCCCAUCACGAUAAUUACAGUAUCGACUCAUUGUACAGUUAUAUGGACAUGACCUCGAUAAUUUUUGCUGACCUCAAUACUGCCCAAUGUGUUUGCAUGCGUUUGUUUUCAUAAGAAUGAAUGUCACCAACAUUGGCCAUUUGUGCUACUUCUGUUCUCUCGACUACUCUAGGGCUGUCAAGUUAAAUUUGAACUUCAAAUAUUUGUCAAAUUUAAGAUAAAAAUGUGCAUUCAAAAGCAAAAAUUGUGCGUUCAAAUUUAAGAUGUGCAGCAUCAAACACUGUUUUAAUAAAAUGACAUGCAAGAUAUUAAUGUUUUUCGAAGAAGAAAAAUCUAGAAAGAAUAUUUCUAGUGUUUCAAAUAAUCAAGUCAUAAUCAAUAAUGUUGGGGAUUGACCCGCUAAGCUGCGUGAGCUGAAGCUGAACAGUGAAUGAACACCAGUAAACUGAAGCGCUUUACUGGCGGGUUAUUUAACGCAACCAAAUGCAACCUAAACACACAUAGGCAUGUGAAAAAAUAAGUACAAUGCCCUCCACUAAUACACAAUUAAUUUGAGAACAUAUUUGAGAAGAAUAUAUUUGAAGUAUAUUCCCAUUGAUAUUUAAUUUUUUUUUUUUAGUACACCUGGGUGAUAAGGAACAAGAAAUUGUUCAACCAUGACUUCCUGUUUCACAGGGGUAUAAAUAUGCGGUAACACAUAGGCCAAAAUCCCUUAGUCAUUCAUAACAAUGGGUAAGACCAAGGAAUAAAGCUGUGAUGUGCAACAAAAGGUUGUUGAGCUUCACAAAAAGGGAAGUGGCUAUAAGAAAACAGUGCAAGCACUGAAAAUGCUCAUUUCCACCUGUCAACUGGAAAUGUUAUGAAUCAACCUGGAAUUGGACAUGUGUCUAUAUUGUCUCAAUGGAUCUCCAAGGAUCACAGCUGGAGAAUUGCAAAAGUCAGUUGGUCUUGGGGUCAGAAAGUCUCCAAAACUACAAUCUGAAGUCUCCUACAUCAUCUACUCAUCCAUAUGGAAAAGUACUUCAUGCCCAUGGUUAAAUAUGGUGGUGGCUCUUUAAUCUUUUGGGGCUGUUUUCCUGCCAGAGGACCUGCACAUUUUGUUAGGAUACAUGGCAUCAUGGACCCUAUCAAAUAUCAACAGAUAUUAAAUGAAAACCAGACUGCCUCUGCCAGAAAGCUUAAAAUGGGCCAUGGGUGGAUCUUCCAGCUGGACAAUGAUCCAAAACAUACAUCAAAAUCAACACAAAAAUUAUUUUUGUGGUCAGUAAACCAAGAUGCUGCCAUAGCCAUCCCAGUCCCCUGACUUGAAACCCAUAGAAAACCUGUAGGGUGAACUGAAGAGAGUCCAUCAGCCUGGAACUCAAAAUUUGAAGGAUCUGGAGUGAUUCUGUAUGGAGGAAUGGUCUCAGAUCCACUGUCAUGUAGCAAGAACAUCUCUAACCACAUCAGGCAUUAUAGGAGAAGGCUCAGAGCUGUUAUCUCGGCAAAGGGAGGUAGCAGAAAAUAUUGGCUAAAAGGGUGCCAAUAAUUGUUGCACACAUAUUUAACAAAGAUUUUUUUGAUAAACCUGUGUUUUGUUUGCAAUUGUUUGAUAUCCAACAGAGUAUUUUUGUGAAUUUUAUGAACAAAAGAUCAAAAGGUUAAACAAUAAAGACAAAUUUUCACAUCCUUCUUUGCUCAUAUUUACCAUGGGUGCCAAUAUUAGUGGAGGGCACUGUAGGUGAAUCAGCCUUUAACUUGUUUAAUUUAAAUCAGUUUCAACUUCCCAGUUGGCAGUGAACAAAGCCUGUAACUGAAAGUGAGGAAAGGCCUUGCUCACUGCCAACUGGGAAGUUGAUAUACGUAGGCAAGCGAAGAAUGCAGGAUUCAAAAACACAAUUAGUGCUACAGAGCCAAGCUUUAACAAACCUGUUAGAUUGGGCAUUCAAGAAAUCACCAUAUCAAAAUAAUGGAGAUUUUUUCCCACCCAUAUUCUGAAAACACUUUGAUGGUUACCACCACCACCACCUAAUACUGGCCUGCCACUGAGCUAUUUUAAAAGUGAAUAUGACUCCUCUAUGGCAGCCCAUGUGGUGGCAUAACAAAAAUAAAUGGGUCAGUGUGUGAAAGAUGUGGCCAAGAAGAGCAGUUGUAUGUCAUGCAUCACAGCUUGAACACUGGAGCUCAGUGGAGCUAUGAGAAGAAUAAAUCAGAAUACCUGGAAUGCUCAUGGAGAUCAGUUCACUGUCUGCACAUGCACAUUAUCUGUGUACUACACAUUAAAACACUUGCUUACAGUAAAUGACAAAUAUAAAAACACAUACAAGCAUAGAGCACACAAGCACACACAUGCUACAUGUUCAGCAGUAUGAGGGUCAUGGACUCUGACCUCCCAAAGGCCUCAUAGUAAAGGAGCAGUUGUAAGCGUGGCCUGCAUGUGUGUGUGCAGGUGUAGAAGACAGCGACAUAAAAUUACAUUCUUUUUAAAAACAGAAAUGGGAUUGAGACUUAAGUUCAAGACUUUUCCUUCAACAACUAUAGACUGAUGUAGAGCUACAACAACUAAUCAAUAAAAUCGAUAUUAAAAAUAAUCAACAACAAAUUUCAUUAUGGAUUAGUUGGGUCUGUGACAUCACUGUGGAUAACCUCAGUCAGUGACGUCACUUCACAAUGGUGAAAUAAGCAUUUCUAUCAAUAAAACACAUUUGAAAAACAGCAGAGGUCACGGAGCGAGCUACUCAGGGAAAAGUGCACGAUCCAGGUUGUCCAAAACAUGAGAAUGUUUUAUAUUAAGCGCUUCAAACAAACUCGUAAGAGUAUUAACAUGGCUUGUCGUGUCAGAUGCAUGUGCUGUUUGUGCUCCAGACAUGUUUUCUUCACCGCAGUAAUUACAUAUUUACCUUUAUAUCCUUAUCUGUAAAAGUUAGAAAUUCAUGCCAGGAUUUCCAUUUUAAAUAAAGGCUCAUCCUGACAGCAAGACAGUCACCAUUAAACUUCACUGAAUGAGCACGAGUCCACGUAUGCACGUCAAAGAGCGCGCAAUAGAAAGGAGGCACAAUAAUUUUGACUAAAAUAUUAAUUUUCAUCAAAUAUGUUGUUUGAUGCUAUAUUCAGCUAUACUUAGAAACAAAAGUAAUUGUAUUUUUUAUGAGAGCAAUAACUGUAAUGAGGUUAAAGCGUCAUGAAACACUAUACUACAUUUUCUGAGAUUUUAACAAAGGUGUUCUUAGCAUCUGUUAAUUUUAAUUGUAGGAGAUAGCUGGUCAAUUUUGAACUUUUGUCCGCUAUUUUCAACUUCCUGGUUUAAAAUUUCGGUUACAGGCAGUGGCGUGACAAUGCACUACAGUACUUCAAUGACUUGUCGGGAUCUCAAUUAUUCAUAAGUCUGCAUGUUCUUAUUCUAUGAGAAGAUGCUGUCUCUUAAUUAGUCAUGACAGCACAUUGUGCAUUCCUACAGAUGUAGUAGAUGAGAGAGGCAUUCAAAUGGGUCAGAGGUGUUUGUUUCAGCGGUGUAAGAGUUCGAGUGUGUUUAUUGUGGAGCGCUAUGAGAACUGGAGAAAGGUGGACUUCGGACUUGCUCAUGAAAGCAGUUUGCGUCUAAACAAUGUUGCGGUACUCAGACCCGAGGACUUUUCUAUGCCUACAACUGACGUAUGUGUCUAAUUUUAACCAUGACUGUUUUACUUACCUUUUGAGUUAAUUAAACCACUUAAAUCUCCACAGGCCAUCACCUGCAAAACUAUACAACAAGAGUCUAUGUUGAAGGGAAGAGCCUUCUCUCUUUUAUUCAUGAAAAGCUCGAGCCUAUUAGCUAACUAGCAUUCCAACAUUUCUCUCAUCCGCGCUACCUCUGGCUCGAGGAAAACAAUAACAAAAUAUUAUAAAAACUGUACAUAUAAUAGGGCUGCACGAUUAUGGCCAAAAUGAUAAUCUUGAUAAUUUUGAUCAAUAUUGAGAUCUCGAUUAUUUAUCACAAUUAUUAAUUGAUUUUAGUGACAACAUAUUUUUAUUGCACUUUCACAUUUAUUAAGUUUUCUCAUGUCACAAAAUAACACACAAGUAGGCAUGGGAAAACUUGAGCUGGUCAAUUAUGACAGAAUUUAGGAACAGAGUGUGAGCCAUGACAAAUUAAUUUACCUUCUGAUAAACUAAAUGUAAUAUUUUCAGUUAAUUAUUCAGACUGUGUGCAAAAAAACAACCGUUAACCUGUUCCACCUUGUAAACAAAUACAAUAAAAUCAAUGUUCAGUGUUUGAAGUUGGCUCCUCUUAAAUACAUUUAAAGCUACACUAUUAGACAUUUUCCACUGUCAUGGUUCUGGGCUGGAGCCAGUUCUCAAACCACUCUGUGUAUAUUGUGUAUAUAUCUGAAUAAUCUCAUAUAGGAUGUGAUUGGGUGAGUUCAUUUACCCAUCAGAUGCAAAGAGCUUUAGUAUAAUGGUGUUCAUUACUAAUAUUCUGAUCAGGAUUUUUACAGCCGAUACCGAUUCAGAUACCGAUUCAGAAUCUUUUUUUUACACUUUAAUCAGGAAGUCUAUCAUAAACAGUUAAAUGUAAGCUCUCUGCUCAUGGUCACUGUUAAUUGAUUUAAAAUAAUAGCAAUGAGAUACUGAUGGUAAAUUGAUAAAUAAACAAGCAUAAAAUAUUUAUUUUUAAAUAUCUUAAACAAUAAAGAGUCCUAAUUAAAAGUAGACAAACACAAAAAUAAUCCAUAUUUAGGAAAAAGGCUAAUAGCUUUCUAUGGAGAUAGCGAACUAAGCUAAAUGUCAAAUUGAUAUUAAAUGCAACCCAUAGUAAUUAAACAUUAUUUCAUUUCUCAUUUUAUCUAUAUUUUAUUAAGUUAUUAUAAUAUCAUUAAAUGAUUUAUUUAUAAUUAAGCACAUUUUCUGUCUUUACAUUUUAAUAGUUUUAUUUUUGUUUGUUUAUCAGUUUUAGAUCGGUUCCCCCAGUACAGUGUCCAUGUCUGCUGAUAAUAUUGGGUUUUGGGGGGAAAAAUGAAAACAUGGAAACUGGAGUUGACUUUUCUAGUGAUAUCUGGCAACCGUGAGUUUAAAUGAAGUGAAUUAGAGUUAGUGAAUGGAGAGCUGCAGCGUACUGUAUGUUUACAGACUGAACAGUUGCUACUCUUGCUUAUGAUUGGUGAGGAAUCUUUUAAUAAAGAAGUUUGAAUUAAACCCACCUUGUAGCGUUAGCAUUAUUAUUAAUUUGCUCCGCCCGAAGCCACUGCCUCUACACAAGCAGGUGCAAGUUCAGGUCAUUUUGCGGGAUCAAUAAAAGAUGGCGGUUGUGAGAUCAGGAAGUUGAAGCAGAUGAUGUAUAGAGUUACUUGUCAUCAUAAUGGCUUCUUUUCAGUAUUUACACACCUGUUUGGUUGACUGAGGAAAUGAAAAGCAGUGCGAAAGUAACUGUUGCUCGCUAUAGUUGCAUUUUGGAGUUGUAGUUUUUAUUCCGAUUGUAUUAUACAACUCCGAACAGGUCACUCACACCGGUGCAAAUAAAUAUUUAUUCACAGUCGCAUAGCUUGAGCCUUGAGCCUAUUAGCUAAUUACCAUUCCAACAUUUCUCUCAUCCGCACUGCCUCCGCUUUUGUUAUGUUUUCCUCCAUAGUCACACCAGGGGCUAAUGAUUCAAAUAGACAUGGCGUAGGACCUGUAAUGCUAUCUAUUAUGUCUUCAUUUAGCCCUGGGGGAUUCAGGAGAAGUCCUCUGCCUCAUCUGCAAAAGUCACUAUCCAUCUUUUUUUUUUUUUUUUUUUUUCUGAAGAAAAAGAAGGCAGUGUUCUGAAGGCUCGCCCCCCUCUUCCUCUCCUGGCUUUCCCUGCCACGCCCCCUCCCUUCUUCACACAGCCAUCUACACCCAUUUAAGUUGCAUUUUUCAAAAAAAUUGAGCGGUAGACUUGAGCUGAAAAAGGGAGGUUUCAUGACCCUUUAAAGCAUGUAAUUCUAUAUACAUAUAAGAAGUGUGAUACAUUUACAGAAUAGAGCAACAUGUUACUGUGUUCAAAUGAGUGAAUGUGUGUGUUAUUGCAAAAAAUGACCAGUUAACAGUUAGUUUGUGCUUUUGUUUUUCUUUUUCAGCAUUUUUACUAGUGAUUUAACUUCUGCUUUAAAGGUUGUGGACAAUCAGUUGUAUAUUUUGAAAACAAAAAAAAAUAUUUUUUUUUAUCCUUUGCAAAUUGUAUAUCAUAGCCCACAUAGAUACAUUUAAUACCUUUUUCAUAGCCUUCAGUUUGCAGAGUAUUUGAAGGACAACAUUGGGCAAAAUGUGAAACGUUUUUUUCAAGAGAAAAAAUACAGAAAAUAAAAAUUGGCCUUUUAACCCAACUAACUGAUUAAUCAAAGAAAUAAUCGACACAUUAAUCGAUUAUCAAAAUAAUCAUUAGUCGCAGCCCUAGACUGAUCCAAAGCUUGUGCUCUUUGGCCCUCUUCUACACGUGCUGCUCAUUUCCCACUUUAUGCCAGUACUAGUACUAAGCGUGCUGGGAAACUGCCUUGACUAUGGACCUAGGCUAUGACAUCAAAAAGACAUUCUAUUUACAGCAGCCCAUAUACACAACCUCUUCCAUUCCACUCUCCAAGGGUGACCCAUGAGUUUUGGGCAGACAACCCACCACUCAAAUUCUCCGACAGGUUUCUUUCUAGGCCCUUGAUAUACAGAGAAUCAGAGGUACCAGAGUCAAAGCUAAACACUAAUUUUGCAACAUUUAAUUUUACAGCUAUUUUCAAUAGCACUGUUUAUACAGUUUCAGUUUAUGUUUAUCCAGCUUUGAGUGUAUACAACAGUGAUACUGCAUUCACUGUGCAGCAUACAUCAAAAUUAAACAACUCUUGGGGGCUUGUGGUUACAAAAGCAUCACAUACUGUACUUGUAACUCUUAAUGGUAAAUGAACAUUAAAUGAGAUGAAGCUCUCCACAGAGAGUAUUAACCCUACAAGAGGGUAGAGUCAAAGCUGUUUCCUGAGGCAGACAACAUCUAGUGUUGUGGCAUAACAAUCAGAUUCGAAUACUGGAUUACAUCACUAGACUGAACACAAGAAAAAGGCAACUGGGUACACCUUGAAAAACAAAAAAAGCAGGGGAAAGUGUGAAAAAAGCCUAGGAGAAACAUGGAACAGGGGAAAUUCGUACAAUGUAAAGAUGCUAGGAGAUAAGGUUAACCCCUGAAAACAACAGUUUCUUGAUUUGGGAAAGACAUUAUUAUUUUGACACAUACUUAGUACAGUCAAUCACAUUAAACAGAGGACAGAAAGCUUGCCAGUGUGUUCCACAGAACAGUUAUACAGUUAUAUAAUAUAAAACAAACAUUAAUUUAUAAUUAUUUUUCACUGUUUUCCAGUCUUUCUGGAAUGGUAUACAGUUGUGCUUGAAAGUUUGUGAACCCUUUAAAAUUUUCUAUGCAUCUGCAUAAAUAUGACCUAAAAUAUCAUCAGAUUUUCACACAAGUCCUAAAAUUAGACAAAGAGGACCUAAUUAAACAAAUGAGAAAAAUAUUAUACUUGCUCAUUUAUUUAUUGAGGAAAAUGAGUCCAUAUUACAUAUCUGUGAGUGGCAAAUGUAUGUGAACCUCUAGCAUUAGCAGUUUAACUUGAAGGUGAAAUUAGAGUCAGGUGUUUUCAAAUCAAUGGGAUGACAAUCAGGGCCCAGUUGUUCAGGAGUAAUCUGAGCAGAUUUCAGCUAUUGGAUUGGAUCUAAACUUGAAAAUGUGUUGUUCAAAAGAAGAAAAUGAUUCUGAUAUCAGAUUGGAUCAUGUAAUCCAAUCUUGCUUUUUAUCUGGAUCAAAUCUCCAGUAUGUGUUGUUCAAAAGUUUUUAGUAGGAUUGGGAUAUCUGUUAUCCAAAACAUCUGGAUUAUCCUGACCCAGCAAAAGGGUGGAUUCAGGGAGGAUUUCAGGAACAAAAUAUAAUAAAGCUACAAAACUGGUCAAAUAAUACAACAUUUGUAUCAUGUAGUAUAAAAAUGUAUUAAUAUUUUGCACUUGAUUUGUUUAACUGUUAGUGAUAAACUACACAUCAGGCUACCAACUAAGCCUUUCAGUAGAGUAAAGUAAAAAAGAAAAAAGAUUUUGUCCCCAUAAAUAAUCCCCCAAAACAGUGGUCAAUGUCAAACAAAAUAUUAUUUAAUUUUAAGUGUCAUUUGUCACUGUACAAUAAUUACAAUGACACAAUCAUCAGAGAUGAACCAGUCAAAGUAGUUUCUAACAACUGCAUCCCUUAUUGCUCUCCACACAUGAAAAACUUAUUAUUUUGAAGAACAUUCUUAUUUUGUUAAAUAUGUAGACAUUUAGACUUAUGAUUUAAAAUGCGUUCAAAAGAUCCUCAAUGUAUUUGUGAAUAAUGUAUAUUUGUGUUUGUAGUUAUACUUCUGGACUACUGGGCCCAGGUUAUAAAAGGUUACAAAACCAUCUCUAAAGAGUUUGGACUCCACCAAACCACAGUCAUACAGAUAGUGUUCAAAUGGAGGAAAUUCAAGACCAUUGUUACCCUCCCAGGAGUGUUCAACAAAGAUCACUCCAAAAGAAAGACAUGUAAUAGUCAACGAGGUCACAAAGAAACCCAGGGUAACUUCUAAGCAACUAAAGGCCGCUCUCACAUUGGGUUAUUGUCUUAAUGUUCAUGAGUCCAUCAUCAGGAGAAUACUGAACAAUAAAUGGUGUGCAUGGCAGGGUUGUAAGGAGAAAAUAGAAUUUUUGGUUUAAAUGAGAAGCGUUAUGUUUGGAGAAAGGAAAACACUGCAUUCCAGCAUAAGAACCUUAUCCCAUCUGUGAAACAUGCCAGUGGUAGUAUCACGGUUUGGGGCCAUUUUGGUGCAUCUGGGCCAGGACUGCUUGCCACCAUUGAUGCAACAAUCAAUUCUAAAUUAAACCAGCAAAUUCUAAAGGAAAAUGUCAGGAUAUCGGUCAUGGACAGAACCUCAAUAGAAAGCAGGGCAUGCAGCAAGAUAACAACCCUUAUUUAAAAAAAUAAAAAUAAAAAAAAAAGGACACAAGUCAUUCUACCAAGGAAUGGUUAAAGAAGAAUAAAGUUAAUACUUUGAAAUGGCCAGUCCAAACCUUAAUCCAAUAGAAAUGUUGUGGCCUAAAGCAAGCAGUUCAUGUGAGGAAACCCAUCAUCAUCCCAGAGUUGAAAUUGUUCUGUACUGAGGAACAGUCUAAAAUUCCUCCAAGCUGUGGUGCAGGAUUGAUCAACAAUUAUCGGAAAUGUUUAGUUGCAGUUAUUGCUGUACAAGGGGGUCGCGCCAGAUACUGAAAUCAAAGGUCCACACACUUUUGCCAUUCACAGAUAUAUUGUAAUAUUGGAUCUUUUUCCUCAAUAAAAAAAUGACCAAGUAUAACAAAUGUCUCAUUUGUUUAAUUGGGUUCUCUUGAUCUACUUUUAGUACUUGUACGAAAAUCUGAUGAUGUUUUAAGUUAUAUUUAUGCAGAAAUACAGAAAAUUCACAAACUUUCAAUUACCACUGUAGACCCUGCCCCCUUCCAGUUUAAAGCCAAAUAUAAAAACAGAUAUGAAUACUUUGAGCACUAAACAGACACAGAUAUAAAUACAGAUUAUGGCAUUGCAUUACAACCCCAUAAAAUUUCAUUUUUAUCAGUUUAUACUCCAUAAAAUGGACUUUCAAAGAUGACCCACUGGUGCUGAACCAAAAUACCUUCUGGUAGCUUUCACCUAUACACUUUCAUACAGUCUAAAGAUUUUCUACUUGUAAAGAUUGCCUCUGGCUGUAGUGUCACUGUAUUUUGCACAGAUUGCCCAAGGUUGCACGCCAGAGACAGAAACUGCAGAAUCUUUCAUCAACCAGACAAACCCUUUCUGACAGCCUCACAAUGAUGGCCUCAUAAUGCUGAGGCUCCUGUUCUUACAGAUCUGACCCAAUAAAAACACAGCUGUCGGCACAUUCAGUCUCUUUCUUUCCACAACCUUACUUCAUUUUUUUUUUCACUUUUUUUUCCCUCAAGCUCUACCUCUUCAGGAAAGUAGGUUAGAUAAAACUUCUUUGUAGUCCUUUGCACUUAGUUUUUUGUAUUAUAACUUUGUAUUUAUUGUUUAGGCAUUAUAGGUUUGUUUGUUUUUUUUUAAACACGAUGCCAGCUUCUAUGGCUAGUUUCAUGGUGAGAAAUGUCUAAGGGACUCCAUAUAAGGUUUUUAAAAUCUAUUUUUCCUAAAAACUCUAAAAUUGCAUUAGGUUUGACAUUUCUUCCAGAGUGUUGACUGAACAAAAAAAGGUUUCUCACUGGGUUAAGACCAGUACAGUCUAAAAAAAAUGUUUCAAGGAUAAUGGAUUCUGGUAGAAGGUAAAUGUUGGUGAAUCUUCUCCUAAUAUUAAAAACUUGUGUGUCAUCCUGGAGUGACCUGUUCGACAGCAGGUGUAGACAAUCUGGUUCCAGUGAUUUGAAAACAAAGAAACAUUUUUCUUUUGCCAACAAUAGGGCUGAUUUCAUGGAGUUUGUUCGUGGUUUUAGGUCAGUGGGAGGAAAUCUGCUGAUAAUGCUUAUUUUUCAGCAGUGUCUGCUUCUUUAUUUCCCGGGAUUCCAGUGUCCAGCUACCCAGCAGAGGUAGAUAUUAAAAUUUAGGGCCACCAGAUAAAGCAAUUUGCAAAGAAUUUUUACAAGCAUAGGUGAUCAUUUUUUGGGAUGACAUUGCUUGAAGACAUGAUUUUGAAUCUAUAAUUAUCAGAAAGUAUUUCUGUUGCAUAGUUUUUAUGAAGUCCAGUGCUAAGAUGAUAAUGUUUGCCUCUGCUGUAAAAAUUGAGCUGUGGUUGGGGAUAUUCCCAAUUUUUUCUUUUGGUGAUUGAUCACGAAUUCAGAUGACACAUGGUCUUCAGAUUUUGAGCCAUCUGUAUAUAUGCCUUGAUGAUGUACUGUGUCCAAGAUUUGGAUAUAUGAUUUCCUACCUGAUCCAUAUACUAUACAUCCAUAAUCCAGGCAUGAUCGAAUUAGUGUUCUGUAGAGAUUUAAAAGAACUGAACUUUAUGCACCCUGUUUGGUUUUAGCUAAAACCUUUAAAAUGUUCUUGGCUUUAAGACAUUUAUCAUUUAAAAUCUUCAUGUGAGGGAUAAAACUCAGUUUACUGUCCAGAGUUUUGGUCUUUGUAAAUUUAAAACCAUUUGAUACUGGCCAGGAUUGCAUUCUGUUCAUUGUAAGAUGGAUUUUCUGUUGAACAUUAUUUGUGCAUUUGCCUCUGUAGCAAAUGCCAAUGUCAUCCACAUAAAGACUAUAAUGGAUAUCCGGCCUGAUGGCUUUUGUGAUGCCGUUGAUUUUGAUACUAAAAAGUGUAACUGAUAAAAUGGUUCUUUGUGAUACUCCUAGUUCUUGUUUAUGUAGGUCAGAUAAGGUAUUACCUACUCUGACUUUGAAAUGUCUGUUUGAUUAAAAUAAAAAAAAAA
ensembl:lncRNA